rnacentral:rRNA from 1 species
AGUGGCAGACGGGUGAGUAAUGUAUAGGAACCUACCUAGUAGUACGGAAUAAUUGUUGGAAACGGCAACUAAUACCGUAUACGCCCUACGGGGGGAAGAUUUAUCGCUAUUAGAUGAGCCUAUAUUAGAUUAGCUAGUUGGUAAGGUAAUGGCUUACCAAGGCAAUGAUCUAUAGCUGAUCUGAGAGGAUGAUCAGCCACACUGGAACUGAGAUACGGUCCAGACUCCUACGGGAGGCAGCAGUGGGGAAUAUUGGACAAUGGGCGAAAGCCUGAUCCAGCCAUGCCGCAUGAGUGAAGAAGGCCUUUGGGUCGUAAAGCUCUUUCGGUGAGGAAGAUAAUGACGGUACUCACAGAAGAAGUCCUGGCUAACUCCGUGCCAGCAGCCGCGGUAAUACGGAGAGGGCUAGCGUUAUUCGGAAUUAUUGGGCGUAAAGAGCGCGUAGGCUGGUUAGUAAGUUAAAAGUGAAAUCCCAAAGCUCAACUUUGGAAUUGCUUUUAAAACUGCUAACCUAGAGAUUGAAAGAGGAUAGAGGAAUUCCUAGUGUAGAGGUGAAAUUCGUAAAUAUUANNAGGAACACCAGUGGCGAA